CUGUGCUUACUUGUAAGCGCGGCAAUGGCGGAGGAGCGCCGCUGAAAAACUUAUUACUUUUUCUGGGUCACAAAAUAAACUUUUAAGAUAUUUUCAGGCGAGAAUGUAGCUGUGUAAAUUUCAAAUAUCUACUCGAUUUAUCAAGACAUCAUAUAUUUGCAAAAAUGCUCCGACGUUUUCAGAGACGUCCAUUUUUUUCAUGCUUUGUGGCAGCUUAAGAACAUCUGUGGCAUCUAUUAAUGUCAAAUCUAGCCUUUAUUUAACAACAUAAGCAAACUCUAUGUUACAAUGAUUGCACAGCCAUUAAGGAUCAAAUCAGUUUCUGAAAAAUGUUCUGUUUUUUCUCCCUCUGCUUGCUUCUUACUGUCUUUGAGGCCGAUCGGGACCAGCACUCCUGCUGUUGGACAGAAAGACAUCAACUUGAGAUAUGACUGCACUGUGCUGUUGCUGGUGACCACAGUUAAUUCUACAAGACAUGCUGUGACAACAGGAGAGAUGAGUCCUCCGUCACAGAUGGUGUGGUCAGUGAAGAUGGUCAUCUGCAGGUUCAAGCUCAUUGCAUCUCCAACCCACAUCCACUGCCACUGUACUUAAGGGAAGUUAAAGACUUUCUUCUGCACCUACAUUUGGAUCACCUCGAUCCAUGACAGUCAUUCAGGCAGUGAUGCCUGGACUGGAAACAAGCAUCCUUAAAAUAAUACAACAUUCCAGCUCAUGUGUUGGAAUGGAAAACAAAUGUGUUGUUUAAAUUAGAGACUGCACUUGUGACAGAACAAUAAAUAUUUUAUUUUGAUUAUAUAAGUAAUGUAAGUACAAAACAAACUUGUUGUAGGC
ensembl:lncRNA